CAGGGCUAAAGUCAGUAAAUCUAGAAAUUCAGUAUCUUUUAAAUUCGAGAGAAAAGUCUUCACAGGAAAAGAAUUGCUUUUCCAUCCUGAAUCAGUAGAUAUAAACCAAACCUUUCAGCAAGAAGAGAAGCAACUGGAACCCCUAUGUAAAUGGAUAACAAGUUCCCUCCCAGGAAAGUUCCAAGUUUUUGUUCUUUCCGCUAUGGAUUAUCUCUCCUCCUACAUGUCUGUAAUGUAUUAAUAAUGUCACAACGCAUGUGUGUGAGCCUCACAAUGGUAGUCAUGGUGAACAGGACGGAUCCACACGGUUUACCCAAUACCUCCACAGAGGAGCUCCUGGAUAACAUAAAGAACCCCGUGUAUAAUUGGAGCCCUGAAAUCCAGGGGAUCAUCUUCAGUUCCAUCUUCUAUGGUUCAGUUAUCUUCCAAAUUCCUGCUGGAUACUUAUCUGGAAUAUACUCCGUAAAGAAAAUGGUUGGCUCUACAUUAUUUGUCAGCUCUCUAAUUAAUUUGUUCAUCCCACUGGCAGCUCAAGUUGGAGAAACUUUGGUCAUUGUGUGCCGAGUAGCCCAGGGAGUAGCCCAGGGGACAGUAGCAGCAGCUCAGCAAGUAAUAUGGAUCAAAUGGGCUCCUCCCUUGGAACGAGGCCGACUUACCUCUAUUAGUAUAUCAGGAUUUAUGCUGGGACCCUUCAUUACCCUCAUUGCGACUGGAUUCAUCUGUAAAUCCCUGGGCUGGCCCAUGGUCUUCUAUAUUUUGGGUGCUUGUGGCUGUACCCUAAGUCUUCUCUGGUUUGUUCUGUUUUAUGAUGAGCCAAAGGACCACCCAUGUAUGAGCAUCAGUGAGAAGGAAUACAUCACAUCCUUCCACGUCCAACAGGUCAGCUCAAGUGAAUACUCUCUGCCCAUCAAGGAUAUGCUUAAGUCUCUUCCACUCUGGGCCAUUUGCAUGUGUAUUUUUGCUUUAUUCUGGUCAAGUACCAUCAUACUUUUCUAUACACCAACAUUUAUCAACUCCAAGCUUCAUGUUAAUAUAAACGAGAAUGGGCUGCUUUCUGCCCUCCCGCAUUUGUUUGCCUGGAUCUUUGGUAUCCUAGCAGGUCAGAUGGCAGACUUCCUCCUAUCCAGGAAUAUUUUCAGCAUACUUAACAUCCGGAAGCUCUUCAUCAUGCUAGGACUUCUCCUGCCUGCCCUCUUCUGUGUAUGCCUACUGUACCUGAGUUCCAGCUUCUAUGGCACUAUUAUUUUCCUGAUACUUGCUUGUGCAACAGGAAGCUUUACUAUGGUUACAGUGAUUGUAAAUACCUUGGAGAUCGCUCCCAGAUAUUGUGGAUUUCUUAAUGGAUUUAUACUGGUAAUUGGAACGAUAGCAGGAAUAAUUUCUUCCACUCUGACUGGAAUAAUUCUUAAUCAGGAUCCAGAAUCUUCCUGGUUUAAAAUCUUCUUCCUGAUAGCAGGCAUUAAUGUGAUAGGCGUAAUUUUCUACCUUAUAUUCGCUAAAGCAGAAAUUCAGGACUGGGCUAAAGAAAAACAACACACACGCCUCUGAAGAAUUAUUCACCACAAAUUUGGCCAAAUAUAGGCCAUCCCAGAAAAGAAGAGAACAAGAGAUACCUUUCUUCCUUCCAGUGAACUGUGUGCACUUAAAGCAGUAACAUUUUGCAUAAAACAGAGUUCUAGGAGAGCCUAGGGCCAACCUCAAGGGAAGAGGAACCAGCACGUGAGCCGGGACUGAGAGACUGUCACCAGCUCAAGAAGAAGACAGCACGUGGAUUCCUCGGAGACCAGUUUCCCCAACACACACCCUGUGUACAUCUCUUUUGUAACACGUUUUGUUUGCAAAAUGUCUAAAUUUUAAAUGCAGGUUUAUUUGUCUUCCAUUCCACAUCAGUUGCCUUAUGAACGAUGGUUGAAUAAACCAAUAAACAAGCACAAGAAGACA